GAUGAACGCUGGCGGCGUGCCUAAUACAUGCAAGUCGAGCGAACAGACGAGGAGCUUGCUCCUCUGACGUUAGCGGCGGACGGGUGAGUAACACGUGGAUAACCUACCUAUAAGACUGGGAUAACUUCGGGAAACCGGAGCUAAUACCGGAUAAUAUAUUGAACCGCAUGGUUCAAUAGUGAAAGACGGUUUUGCUGUCACUUAUAGAUGGAUCCGCGCCGCAUUAGCUAGUUGGUAAGGUAACGGCUUACCAAGGCAACGAUGCGUAGCCGACCUGAGAGGGUGAUCGGCCACACUGGAACUGAGACACGUUCCAGACUCCUACGGGAGGCAGCAGUAGGGAAUCUUCCGCAAUGGGCGAAAGCCUGACGGAGCAACGCCGCGUGAGUGAUGAAGGUCUUCGGAUCGUAAAACUCUGUUAUUAGGGAAGAACAAAUGUGUAAGUAACUAUGCACGUCUUGACGGUACCUAAUCAGAAAGCCACGGCUAACUACGUG
rnacentral:rRNA from 1 species